CCUACGGGUGGCAGCAGUGGGGAAUAUUGGGCAAUGGGCGCAAGCCUUACCCAGCAACGCCACGUGAAGGAAGAAGGCUUUCGGGUUGUAAACUUCUUUUCUCAGGGACGAAGAAAGUGACGGUACCUGAGGAAUAAGCUACGGCUAACUACGUGCCAGCAGCCGGGGUAAUACGUAGGUGGGAAGCGUUAUCCGGAUUUACUGGGGGUAAAGGGCGUGUAGGCGGGGAAGCAAGUCAGAUGUGAAAACCACGGGCUCAACCUUUGGCCUGCGUUUGAAACUGGUUUUCUUGAGUGCUGGAGAGGCAGACGGAAUUCCUAGUGUAGCGGUGAAAUGCGUAGAUAUUAGGAGGAACACCAGUGGCGAAGGCGGCUUACUGGACUGUAACUGACGUUGAGGCUCGAAAGCGUGGGGAGCGAACAGGAUUAGAUACCCCAGUAGUC
rnacentral:rRNA from 1 species